AAAAAAUGAAACAAUGAGAAUGGAUCCUCACACAUGGUAUAUGGGUCUCUAUACUUUUCCACUUCUAAAUUCAAAUUCAAAUAACAUGUCACAUUAAAUAAUGUUUGAAUAAUUUUUUCAAAUCCAACCAUCUCUCUACUUUUCACUUAUUCAUUUUAUUACUCUCUCACUAUUUUUCUCUUCAACCAAAAUCUUUUCUUCUUCCAUUUCAAAAGUUUUUUUUUUCUUUUUUAGUGGGAAGAUAUAUAUUUUGCUUUCAUGUCAAAAGUUUGUCAUGUUAUGUUCUAUUUGUGGAAGAUACUAACACUGCCUUAAUCAGUUUUAUGUGGCUGCAGCUCUUGGCUACAUCACCAAUCAAACACUCUAUAUCAAUAAAAGCCACGUAGGAUGGGGUAGUCUUGUUACCUGAUCGUUGGCUAUGAUGUCAAUGCGGAUAUGCUGCCAAACACCAUCACACGAGUAAGUUAUUCUAAAGUGGAUUCCAAUCGCUGGACCCUCACCUUUCCCAACCACAUUUUCUCACAAUUUAGCAAAACAAGAAAGAGAUUUUGUGUGAUUUGAGUUUUCAACGAAAGAACGAAGUAUUUGAAUUCUGAUAUGAGAAACAUAGAGGGAAAGCUAUAGUUAUAUAGAAAUGGUUUGAAAUAUGGAAUGUUGGCUAUGGAGUUGAUGAACAUUUGGGUCUAGAGUUUCAAUGGACACGAUGAUUGCUGAUUAAGACUCUUCUAUAUGGGUCUAAUGAUGUUCUAGGGUUUAACUCUACCAUUAAUUUUUUCUUCAUGUAUUUGAUUGCUGAUUAAUUUUGCUUGUUUUCUAAUCAAGAUCACAAACAUAUCUUUUUAGUGGUGGUUCAUCUUUAAAUAGACAUGUGUAUUUUGUGUGUCCUAACAUGUGCUUAUUUGAUUUUUAUUUUAAAAUGGUUUUCUCUAUAUCUGACAACCAAACACACAUUUUCUUUGUGCAGAGGUGGAAGAUUGAGCUGUGAUGCCGUAUAGAACAAUGCAAAUUAAACCAUUCGAUAAAAGUGAUUGUUGAGCCAUUAUUAUCACUUUUCAUUUCUUUAUCCUUGUAUGCAUCUUUCAGAAUAGGAGAUCAAUUAAAGAAUGUGAUUACCUCAUUAACAUAAUUUUAUAAGCACACUACUUACACAAUGUUAAGUUGAUUGUUGAGCCAUUAUUAUCACUUUUCAUUUCUUUAUCCUUGUAUGCAUCUUUCAGAAUAGGAGAUCAAUUGUUAAGUUGUAUGUUUAUAACAUUGUGUAAGUAGUGUGCUUAUAAAAUUAUGUUAAUGAGGUAAUCACAUUCUUUAAUUGAUGCUUGUGGAUUUAGCUCCUUCUUGAAUGUUCAUCGUUUGAGGGUGUCUUAUAUUAUAGGAAGGUCAGGAAGACAAAAUAUGAGACUAGUUGUGAUACACCACAAGCAGUAGAAUGGGAGGUCUCAAUUCAUUGUGGUGCAGGAUGUUAAAUGACUAGUUUCUAAUUUAGAUGAUAUUUGUAACACCGUGAGUUUUUUAUGCAUGUUUUAUUAAUUAUUUAAUUUAAUAAUAAUUAAUUUUAGAAA
rnacentral:lncRNA from 1 species